ACUAACACAAGAUUGCUAACAGCAUGGGAUGGUGGGCGGUACUGGCCAAUUCGUCGUUUCUUUCUUUUUCAAAAAGCAAGCUUCCCGAAAACCCGUACUCCUUAAUAAUUGAUAACAGUCCCAUAGUAAAACGGGGAGAUCCCAAGUUUACAUGAACGUGUGUCUCUGCAGAGUUAUCUCAUCGUGUCUUUCACCGGUGUUACCACGAAAUGUCCGCUAGGUGGCAGGCGACACAAUCUGAUUGUGAAAGUGGUUUUCACUGUGUGCAGGUAGACACGGUUCUGCAGGGUGCCAUGCGGUUCUGAUCCAGUACAGUUAAUGGUGCCCCACCAAGCUGUAAACUCCAGGCUGCACCUUGGAAACGGUGCGGCUUCCUGCUAAAGGAAUAGGGAACCAGCUGCCACGGCAGAGGGACUAUCUGGACAAGAAACAGAGACCGCGAAACAGAUAAAAAUCCUUGGAACUUCCUCCCAUUUCCCGAAGGAAUUUUUUGCGGCAGAGCGAAAUAUAAAAAUGGACCCUUGCACCCCCUUCUCUUUCCAGGAAGACGCGGGACGAGGGAGAUGAGAGGGGUUCAAGCGAAGAGGACAGAUUCGGAAAGGAUUAACUACGGCUUCUGGUGUUGUCAAGAUCACUAAUGAGUUUGUGUUUAAAAUCAGCUCUAACCAGAAAAAAAACCACUGAAACAAGUUGUGCAGGAUGCCAGUAUAACUUUUUAAAACCCACGUGAAUCCAGGGCGAGGAUUUCAAGUUUUGGAACCUGUUUUGUUGAACUUUUAGAGAAACUUAAAAAAAAAAAAAAUGGCUGGAGGAAACGCUUUGGUAUUGUUUGGCAGUGUGACUCAGGUUCGAGGCACUGCUUUGUCAGGUCACUGUAGCCAGAAUUCCCAGACUGGUACAGUCCCUGGCUAACUCGAAAUAGCAGAAGAGGAGGCUUUCAGGGCUGCCCACUUUUGUGAAAUCGGUCAGCAAGGUGAUCACAGGAGGGGAACCAUUUGAAAUGCUGUUGGCUCCACAGUCCUGGGGAUUGUAUCGGCUUGUAAAGGAUUGCAGAAGUUGAGCAGGUGGAGAGAGGCACGGUAGGGACUGAUGUGACAGAUAGGAAGCCUUAUGAUAAACCCAUACAGGUAAAAGCAUGUGCAAUGUUCAGUAUGCCAUUUAUGGGGAUAGAGUGGAGGCGCCCAUAUGUAUGCCACACUUUUACAUUGACCUCACUUACCACUUUCUCAACGGCGAUGGAAACUUGGUCAGGAUAUUUCUCUACCCAAAAGUUAAUGAGAGUUUCGGAAUGUGGGCUGCAUGGUGGAAUCUGGCCGUCUGUCAGUGAAUGCGGGUUUCCAUGAUACCGAUAGCUUUGAUUUUAUAUUUACAGCCAUGGCAACAGGGGAUUUCUAGUUCUGUAUUGUAUUUUGCACAGUUCCCCAGAACACGCUCAACUUGUCAGAUGCCACCUGUUUUCAAAGACCAGGUGCCUGCAGAAUGGGUUUCAUUACUGAAGACUGCGCAUUAAUUGAAAGCCCUUGUAAAAGAGCAGCUGUGGAAGGAGACCCAGACCUCGUAUUAAGGUGGUGCAGCCUGGAGCAGACGUCUAGCACAGACCCAGCUGCAGGAGCCUAGCGAGCGGGGGGAAGGCGCUGUGCUGUCGACUGCAAAGUGAGUGUGUUCCAUGCAAACACGUGCCAGGGUCAUAGUCAUGGGAUGCUGGAACAUAUCUCAGAAUCAUCUCCGGUAGUGCUGCACCCAGUGGUGGUGUGGCAAAACUGUUCCUUAAACCGAAGAAAAGUUACGAACGAGAGGAGGCCGGCCGGCUCUCGAAGGAUCCCAGUGACUCGGCAGCAACAACGUGGCUUGGAAACUCGUCCCAUGCACUCACCACGCUGUGCAAAAAAACAUCACCUUCUCCCCUCUGCCCUGAGUCUGCCUCCACUCAAUUUCCAGCUGUGUCCUGUGGGCCUGGUCUCAGCGGUUGAACCUGUGCUUUUUUUAAAAUCUGCCCUAACCCUUCCUUGUUGCAAGCUAAAUAGAUGCAGUUCCUUCAGCCUGUCCACCUACCUCCCUGCUCUGUCUAACACCUACCUUUCAGUCCUGAGACCAGUCUGGGUGUUGCUCCUCGCUAGACUCUCUCCAGAGCGGCAAUGCUCUUUUCUGUAAGCACCCAAGAGUGCGGUCUCACCAGUGCAUUGUGCAACCUCAUCAUAAUCGUAACCUGGCUUGAACUUUUUGUUUCCUGAAAUGCUGUGUGUUGGUAUAGCUGACACCCACAGGGUGUCCCAGGACGGAGUGGGUUGAAGGGUGCAGCAGGGGAGGGGCGGUGUUAAAAAUAUCCCUUUCCUUCACACGGCGUGAGGUAAGGAAGCCUGAGGCAGUUGCACUCAUUUGCAUGUGUUAAUUUGAUUAAUUAGGGAGCAUCAAAUAUUCCGUGACAGGAGCU